rnacentral:rRNA from 1 species
CGGCUACAACGAGUCGCAAGACCGCGAGGUUUAGCAAAUCUCUUAAAGCCGUUCUCAGUUCGGAUUGUAGGCUGCAACUCGCCUACAUGAAGUCGGAAUCGCUAGUAAUCGCGGAUCAGCAUGCCGCGGUGAAUACGUUCCCGGGCCUUGUACACACCGCCCGUCACACCAUGAGAGUUUGUAACACCCAAAGCCGGUGGGGUAACCUUUUGGAGCCAGCCGUCUAAGGUGGGACAGAUGAUUAGGGUGAAGUCGUAACAAGGUAAC